CGUCGCAAGACCAAAGAGGGGGACCUUCGGGCCCUCUUGCCAUCAGAUGUGCCCAGAUGGGAUAGCUAGUAGGUGGGGUAACGGUCAACCUAGGCGACGAUCCCUAGCUGGUCUGAGAGGAUGACCAGCCACACUGGAACUGAGACACGGUCCAGACUCCUACGGGAGGCAGCAGUGGGGAAUAUUGCACAAUGGGCGCAAGCCUGAUGCAGCCAUGCCGCGUGUAUGAAGAAGGCCUUCGGGUUGUAAAGUACUUUCAGCGGGGAGGAAGGUGUGUGGUUAAUAACCACAGCAAUUGACGUUACCCCGCAGGAGAAGCACCGGUUAACUUCCCGGUUGCCCAAGGCAAGGCCCGGCGGGGUAAAUUACGGGAAGGGGUUGNCAAAGCGGUUAAAUUCCGGGAAAUUUAACUUGGGGGCCGUUAAAAGGCGGCACAACCGCCAAGGGCGGGGUCCNUUGGUCCAAAAGGUUCCGGGGAAUUGUUGAAAAUUUCCCCCCGGGGGGGGCUUCACAAACCCUUUGGGGGGAAAACUCUGGGGAUUUCCGGAAAACUUUGGGGGCAAGGGGGUUAAAAAGUUCCUUUGGGAACAAGGGGGGGGG
rnacentral:rRNA from 1 species